rnacentral:rRNA from 1 species
CAAUGGGCGAAAGCCUGACGGAGCAAUACCGCGUGAGGGAGGAAGGCUCUUGGGUUGUAAACCUCUUUUCUCAGGGAAGAAAAAAAUGACGGUACCUGAGGAAUAAGCAUCGGCUAACUCCGUGCCAGCAGCCGCGGUAAUACGGAGGAUGCAAGCGUUAUCCGGAAUGAUUGGGCGUAAAGCGUCCGCAGGUGGCGAUGAAAGUCUGCUGUUAAAGAGUGAGGCUCAACCUCAUCCAAGCAGUGGAAACUACAUAGCUAGAGUACGUUCGGGGCAGAGGGAAUUCCUGGUGUAGCGGUGAAAUGCGUAGAGAUCAGGAAGAACACCGGUGGCGAAAGCGCUCUGCUAGGCCUGUACUGAC